rnacentral:rRNA from 1 species
UACGUAGGGUGCAAGCGUUAAUCGGAAUUACUGGGCGUAAAGCGCGCGUAGGCGGCUUUGCAAGUCGGGUGUGAAAUCCCCAGGCUUAACCUGGGAACUGCAUUCGAGACUGCAUUGCUAGAGUAUGGGAGAGGGAAGUGGAAUUCCCGGUGUAGCAGUGAAAUGCGUAGAGAUCGGGAGGAACAUCAGUUGCGAAGGCGGCUCUCUGGACCAGCACUGACACUGAGGCACGAAAGCGUGGGGAGCAAACAGG